rnacentral:rRNA from 1 species
UACGAAGGGGGCUAGCGUUGUUCGGAAUCACUGGGCGUAAAGGGCGCGUAGGCGGCCAUUCAAGUCGGAGGUGAAAGCCCAGGGCUCAACCCUGGAAUUGCCUUCGAUACUGUUUGGCUAGAGACCGGAAGAGGUAAGUGGAACUGCGAGUGUAGAGGUGAAAUUCGUAGAUAUUCGCAAGAACACCAGUGGCGAAGGCGGCUUACUGGUCCGGUUCUGACGCUGAGGCGCGAAAGCGUGGGGAGCAAACAGG